rnacentral:rRNA from 1 species
UACGGAGGGUGCGAGCGUUGUCCGGAAUCACUGGGCGUAAAGGGCGCGUAGGCGGCCUGAUAAGUAGGGGGUGAAAUCCUGCGGCUUAACCGCAGGGCUGCCUUCUAAACUGUCAGGCUGGAGCACAGUAGAGGCAGGUGGAAUUCCCGGUGUAGCGGUGGAAUGCGUAGAGAUCGGGAAGAACAUCAGUGGCGAAGGCGGCCUGCUGGGCUGUUGCUGACGCUGAGGCACGAAGGCCAGGGGAGCAAACGGGG